UCUUAUGGAUCAGCAAAGUGGUUUCUUGAGAUGGAAACUACUCCUGGUGAAGAUGCUGUGAA
rnacentral:pre_miRNA from 1 species